rnacentral:lncRNA from 1 species
ACAGUAAAAUGAAGGGGAGGGCUGGUACUUCUACACUUGUCUUUUCCUAGAGUAGAGCAUUUUCUGUGAUCCUGGGUAAAUCAUACAACCAUCAUCUGCCUCAGUUUUCAAGUCUAUAAAAUAGGGAUAAUACUAUCUAUCUACAUCCCAGAGUGAUUGUGAGGAUAAAAUAAGACAAUAUUCAUAAUGUGCUUUGCAAAGCUUAAAGCUCUACUUAACUGUUAGCUAUUAUUAAGUACUAGCUUUUACUCUUGUGAGGUCAUAAUGUUAUUCUCACUGGGUCUGUUGUUGCACUGGGCAUUGAUUUUUUCUGUGUCUUUUCUUUAUUGGCCAUGCCAUCUCUGCUAAUCUUCAUUGGGUCAUUGUGCUUUUACUGCUUUUGACUAGGUUUUAUGUCUUCAUACCCCUCCACUGGUCUCUCUCCUAACCAUUUUUGGGUUUUAGCUUCCUAGGAUCACCUGAUGACCUUCUUAGGGUCUGUGGUCUUAGAUCCAGUAACUAAAAGGUCUUUUCUUAAUGUCAACUCUAUUUGUGGAAAACCCAAGUUCUGCCCCUUAUCCUUUAGGAGCUCUCCUUGGGGAAAACUCCUGACUGACCUGAGUGACUUGACUGACUCUACCUCUGAACUGAACAAUAGACUUUGAGGCAUUCUGAUCCUCUCCAAAACCAUAUCAUGGGGUUUUGCCAAAGAAAUCCCACAAAGUUCCAUGGAAAGGCUUUGAAUCUCAUUUCACUUCCAAGAUGCUCUCCAAAUUGGCAUGCCAAUGAUUUUAAGAACAAAACUAAAAUAACACUCAUGUCUUCUGGCAAGCUAGGAAAGGACUCAAACCAAUCCUCCAGUUUGGAAGGCAUUAUCUACAAGAGGACUGGCUCAAUUGCUGGUGAGGUUGCCACGAAAUCUGCUCUGAUCAACUAGUCAGCACUGCCCAAAGGUGCCUUCAGGCAUUUUAAACUCUCAAGAUUUCUUCCAAACUUGUAUGUGUCCAUCUCUGAGGAUCCCCUUAUAUCAGGAAAGAACAAAAAGAAAUGAGCCAUUCCCAAACCCAAGCUCAGACUUAAUUAGAUAGAACAUGUCCUUUAGAAGCCAUAAACUCAUGGCUAUAUGGGAGGGAAGGAGGAGUACAAGCCAGAAAAAAACAUUUUUCGAACAUCAUCUCAGAAAGUGAUUUGAAAUAGCCCUCACCUGAUUAAAAACCCAAAGAGAAUGGAGAACUGAGAAUGGGGUCAUCCCCUCAAAUAUUCACUGAGUUAUAAAUUCAUCCUUCUCAGUUGCCAAUAAGCAGUAAGACACAUGGCAGAAGAGGUCAAGAAGUUGGUCAUUUGCAGUCCACCCAAGUACUGAAUCACACAUGUGGUCAGCUAGAUUCAGAAGGGUAACUUUGUUUUUGCCCUUUUCAAUCAAUUACAGAGAAAUCAGACUUAUUUAACUUGAUACUGGAGGACAGAUGUAGGAACAAUCUCUUAAUAUAGAGAUAGCUUGUAUUAUUAUGUUAUAUUAUGAUUUUUAUCUCUUAUCAUAGAUAGUUCUUUUAUUUAAAAAAAUUUGAAGACUUCUGGGUAAUCAUGGCUGCAAUCUAGACGCCACACGCUUCCUCUCCCCGGCACUGAACGAAAUAGACUACAUCAAAGGAGCAUAAAAAUCACCUUUGUCAGAACAGGACUCCCCAGUAUCCCACAGAGGUGAAGGUACGUGGGGCUUGAACAUUUCCACACUAUAAUAAGAAGGAGGAAAAGCUUGCACAGAAAAGUGAACUGAGCCGCCCUUCCCCCACCCCCCUCCCCCACCAAACCAGAGUGAGCUACCUGAGUGCUCACCGGGACAGCGAGUGAGUGGGGAAUGUCUCUGUCUGGGGGGGGGCACUCCAGGGUCCUUGGGAUCUGGGGACUGCCAGGAAAAAACGUCUCAGGGCGGUUUC